UCGUUCCGGCAGUCUGACUGACGUCUUGUUUGCGUACAGUGUGCUGUCUGCUUUCGUCUUCACUAGCUUUAACUCUUCGACCUCGUAGUUUUUAUCGAUUUUUGGCUUUUAAUCUAGUCAUUUUACAAGCAACGCUAAGAAGGGAAAGAAUGGAGUAUAUUGUAAAACAAUAAAACGUUUUGUCACAAUUUCAAUUCCUUAAGGAACUAUUACAAGAUCGUAGGACGGUAGGAGCACAUGGCUCAGAAAUAUCAUCGGGAAAGCACACAGUACGAUUCGUUUUUGUAGGUUUCUUUGUGUUGAUGGAUUAGUCACCCUAGAGCAAUUACGAGUAUUUGGAUCAUAUACAAUCCAAUCCACAAAUUAAUGUUGAAGUUGUUGUGAAAUAUGCAACUAGCCCCUAGCAGAUGAGUUCGUUGGAACUACCUAGCCAAAGGUUCAGACUUUUUAUUUCAAGAUUUAAGUCCUGAGGCUGCGAUAUCCUGAAUUAGGUCGGGAAGGUGCCUUAAGUUGUAGAAUGAAAAAUAUUUCACCUUGUCCUUGCCAUUAGCUUCUGUAGUCAACUAUGCUUCUAGGUUCUAACGUGGACUCUUCACCUUACCCAUACAAAUUCCUUAGAGCUACACUUUCGAGGUCAUCCACUGUUAUACCCGGACCACAGUGUAUGAACGCAUCGCUUCCGGGAAGUAGCUACUGCAGUGACCAGUGCGGGCUGAAAUUGGCGACAGACGUAUAUACCAGGUAAACUCAUCCCAUUCGAAAGAUUUCGGAGAAACAUUUGUAGAAAAGUGCUGUCUAAAUUUUGCCGCGUGUUAAUGUUCGGU
rnacentral:lncRNA from 1 species